GGCCAAGUUUUUAAGGGCGCACGGUGGAUGCCUUGGCACCAGGAACCGAUGAAGGACGUGGGAGGCCACGAUAGGCCCCGGGGAGCUGUCAACCGAGCUUUGAUCCGGGGGUGUCCGAAUGGGGAAACCCGGCAGUCGUCAUGGGCUGUCACCCGCUGCUGAACACAUAGGCAGUGUGGAGGGAACGCGGGGAAGUGAAACAUCUCAGUACCCGCAGGAAGAGAAAACAACCGUGAUUCCGGGAGUAGUGGCGAGCGAAACUGGAUGAGGCCAAACCAGUCACGUGUGAUACCCGGCAGGGGUUGCGUGGUUGGGGUUGUGGGAUCUCUCUUUUGCAGUCUGCCGGCUGUGAGGCGAGUCAGAAACCGUUGAUGUAGGCGAAGGACAUGCGAAAGGUCCGGCGUAGAGGGUAAGACCCCCGUAGCUGAAACAUUAGCGGCUCGUUUGAGAGACACCCAAGUAGCACGGGGCCCGAGAAAUCCCGUGUGAAUCUGGCGGGACCACCCGUUAAGCCUAAAUAUUCCCUGGUGACCGAUAGCGGAUAGUACCGUGAGGGAAUGGUGAAAAGUACCGCGGGAGCGGAGUGAAAUAGUACCUGAAACCGUGUGCCUACAAGCCGUGGGAGCGUCGCUGGUGAGUUUACUCAUCAGUCGUGACUGCGUGCCUUUUGAAGAAUGAGCCUGCGAGUUUGCGGUAUGUUGCGAGGUUAACCCGUGUGGGGAAGCCGUAGCGAAAGCGAGUCCGAAUAGGGCGUGGAGUAGCAUGCUCAAGACCCGAAGCGGAGUGAUCUAGCCAUGGGCAGGUUGAAGCGGAGGUAAGACUUCGUGGAGGACCGAACCCACCAGGGUUGAAAACCUGGGGGAUGACCUGUGGUUAGGGGUGAAAGGCCAAUCAAACUCCGUGAUAGCUGGUUCUCCCCGAAAUGCAUUUAGGUGCAGCGUCGUGUGUUUCUUGCCGGAGGUAGAGCACUGGAUAGGCGAUGGGCCCUACCGGGUUACUGACCUUAGCCAAACUCCGAAUGCCGGUAAGUGAGAGCGCGGCAGUGAGACUGUGGGGGAUAAGCUCCAUGGUCGAGAGGGAAACAGCCCAGAGCAUCGACUAAGGCCCCUAAGCGUGUGCUAAGUGGGAAAGGAUGUGGAGUCGCAGAGACAACCAGGAGGUUGGCUUAGAAGCAGCCACCCUUGAAAGAGUGCGUAAUAGCUCACUGGUCAAGUGAUUCCGCGCCGACAAUGUAGCGGGGCUCAAGUACACCGCCGAAGUCGUGUCAUUGCGAUAUUACUCCUAACGGGGAUCGUGAUGGGUAGGGGAGCGUCGUGUGCCGGGUGAAGCAGCCGUGGAAACGAGUUGUGGACGGUUCACGAGUGAGAAUGCAGGCAUGAGUAGCGAUACAAGAGUGGGAAACUCUUGCGCCGAUUGACUAAGGGUUCCUGGGUCAAGCUGAUCUGCCCAGGGUAAGUCGGGACCUAAGGCGAGGCCGACAGGCGUAGUCGAUGGACAACCGGUUGAUAUUCCGGUACCCGCUUUGAAGCGCCCAAUACUGAAUCAGGCGAUGCUAAGUCCGUGAAGCCGCCCUGGAGCCUUCGGGCAAAGGGGAGUGGUGGAGCCGACGGACCAGACUUGUAGUAGGUAAGCGAUGGGGUGACGCAGGAAGGUAGUCCAGCCCGGGCGGUGGUUGUCCCGGGGUAAGGGUGUAGGCCGUGUGGUAGGUAAAUCCGUCGCACGUUAAGGCUGAGACCUGAUGCCGAGCCGAUUGUGGUGAAGUGGAUGAUCCUAUGCUGUCGAGAAAAGCCUCUAGUGAGUUUCAAGGCGGCCCGUACCCUAAACCGACUCAGGUGGUCAGGUAGAGAAUACCGAGGCGUUCGGGUGAACUAUGGUUAAGGAACUCGGCAAAAUGCCCCCGUAACUUCGGGAGAAGGGGGCCAUUUCUGGUGAGGGAACUUGCUUCCUGAGCUGGGGGUGGCCGCAGAGACCAGCGAGAAGCGACUGUUUACUAAAAACACAGGUCCGUGCGAAGCCGUAAGGCGAUGUAUACGGACUGACGCCUGCCCGGUGCUGGAACGUUAAGGGGACCGGUUAGCUUGGAUUCGUUCAGGCGAAGCUGAGAACUUAAGCGCCAGUAAACGGCGGUGGUAACUAUAACCAUCCUAAGGUAGCGAAAUUCCUUGUCGGGUAAGUUCCGACCUGCACGAAUGGCGUAACGACUUCUCGACUGUCUCAACCAUAGGCCCGGUGAAAUUGCAUUACGAGUAAAGAUGCUCGUUUCGCGCAGCAGGACGGAAAGACCCCGGGACCUUUACUAUAGCUUGAUAUUGGUGUUCGGUUCGGCUUGUGUAGGAUAGGUGGGAGACUGUGAAGCGCCAACGCCAGUUGGUGUGGAGUCGUUGUUGAAAUACCACUCUGGUCGUGCUGGAUGUCUAACCUGGGUCCGUGAUCCGGAUCAGGGACAGUGUCUGGUGGGUAGUUUAACUGGGGCGGUUGCCUCCUAAAGAGUAACGGAGGCGCCCAAAGGUUCCCUCAGCCUGGUUGGUAAUCAGGUGUUGAGUGUAAGUGCACAAGGGAGCUUGACUGUGAGACUGACGGGUCGAGCAGGUACGAAAGUAGGGACUAGUGAUCCGGCGGUGGCUUGUGGAAGCGCCGUCGCUCAACGGAUAAAAGGUACCCCGGGGAUAACAGGCUGAUCUUCCCCAAGAGUCCAUAUCGACGGGAUGGUUUGGCACCUCGAUGUCGGCUCGUCGCAUCCUGGGGCUGGAGUCGGUCCCAAGGGUUGGGCUGUUCGCCCAUUAAAGCGGUACGCGAGCUGGGUUUAGAACGUCGUGAGACAGUUCGGUCCCUAUCCGCUGUGCGCGUAGGAGUCUUGAGAAGGGCUGUCCCUAGUACGAGAGGACCGGGACGGACGAACCUCUGGUGUGCCAGUUGUUCUGCCAAGGGCAUGGCUGGUUGGCUACGUUCGGAAAGGAUAACCGCUGAAAGCAUCUAAGCGGGAAGCCUGCUUCGAGAUGAGGGCUCCCUCCUCCUUGAGAGGGUAAGGCUCCCAGUAGACGACUGGGUUGAUAGGCCAGAUAUGGAAGCACUGUAAGGUGUGGAGUUGACUGGUACUAAUAGGCCGAGGGCUUGUCCUC
rnacentral:rRNA from 1 species